CAGUUUUAUAGGAGUCUGGCAUUUCCCCUUCUUGUGCUUUUCUCUCCUGUGCCAUGUGAAGAACCUUGCUUCCUCUUUGCCUUCCACCAUGAUUACUCUUACCAGUUGUUUUAAUUGCUAAGACAACCCAGUUCUGCAUGAGCUACAGCCAACUUUACAAAGCUCUUACAUAAUUCCUAGCAGUUUUGGAAAGGUCAAGGAAAAUAGGGAGUGCACACCGCAUGAGGAUUAUGAGCGAUCUCUGCCCCACAAAAGCACUCAGGGACCCAGACUGCCACAGAUGUCGCCAUUUUUUACCUGCAGCAAGGAAGAUGUCCCAGCACAGGGUGAGAAAAGCCUGGAGAGCUGUCCAUGGUCAUUUCCUACCUCAGUCAAGAAGUAAUGCACAUUUCUUCUACUCACAUUUCUUUGGUCAGAACCAGCCACGUGUUUUCAUCCAACUUAUGAUUUACACAGAAGCCUAAAACAUGCAAUCUUCAGUAUGCCCAGAGGGAAAGGAGAACCAAAUAUUGAUGACAACUAGUAAAUUACAUUGAAAGCAUAAGGUCCAUCAUUGGUCAGCUUCUCCAGAAGGUGAAGGUUUCUGUGUGAGAGAUUUGUUAACGAAUAGCUCUCAAGAUUUAAAAGAUGGGUCAAGUAGAGCAGGGAAAGGAGACAGCAAGCAUGAACAUGAUUUCAGUCCAAGUCUUAAGGAGGAUAGAAAUAAUAGAAGCUUUCUGAAAUGAAAACAGAAAUGUUACAACUUGCACCACAGUACUGGACUGAAACGAAGAUGUAACACAGCCAUAAUAAUUUAAAUUAAUAGCAAAUAAAUAAAGAAAAAAAGAACUUCAUUGUGAGGACCAUAGUCAUGGGAUAGCUCUGUCUUUUCGGGGAAAGUGGAGUAGAGGGACAGAGUCACCCCAGGAGAAAAAAUGCUUAAAUUAAGACUCCCUGAGAGAUUGAAUAAGAGUAUGAUUAGUUCAGCCUUGCUUUCAUCCUCCACUUCCCCCUCCCACUGUAGACUUCAGUUUUAAUAAUGAUUAAAGAAUAAUGCCUGAAUCCCAUCUGAAUGGCUUUUGAGAUUUAACUCACUGAAUCUAUUCAUAGCUCUGAGCAUGUAAGGGGGACUGAACAGAUCUGCACAACUAAUCGUGGAAUAUUACACUGAUACUUCAUCUCCCACAUCAAUACCAAUUAC